UGUUGGGAUACUACCCUUGUUUGAAGGAUGCUCUAACCUCGACCUGUAAGCCAGGCCAGGGACAGUGUCAGGUGGGCAGUUUGACUGGGGCGGUCGCCUCCUAAAGGGUAACGGAGGCGCUCAAAGGUUCCCUCAGAAUGGUUGGAAAUCAUUCGCAGAGUGUAAAGGUAUAAGGGAGCUUGACUGCGAGAGAAACAGCUCGAGCAGGUAGGAAACUAGGACUUAGUGAUCUGG
rnacentral:rRNA from 1 species